rnacentral:tRNA from 1 species
GGGCUCGUAGCUCAGUGGAAGAGCGCCGGCUUCGCAAGCCGGAGGCCCCGGGUUCGAAUCCCGGCGAGUCCA